rnacentral:lncRNA from 1 species
CUGUAGCUGAACACUGGCCACGGAAAUUUUUGGCCUUAAUUGUGUACUUUCCACUGUCGCUGACUGAUGCAUUUCGGAUUUCAAGGGAGUAUACAUUUCUGGAGCGACUUAUGCUGACAUUUGAAGAAAUAGAAAUCUAAGACAAAGGAAAAAGAAAAGAAAUGUUGAAGUUCUUCAGAUGUGGAAGACAUGGUAUUUUAGUUUUUCUUCAAUAAUAUAUUCAUAAUUAAACUUACUGGCAGGUUGUUUUUAAACCAUUCGAUUUCAGGGGAUGGCUCGCCACUGAUUUCACAAGUAAAGAGAACAUUUUGUCCUUCAUUAAUAUUUUGAGAUCUAGGCUGUGAGAUGAAGGCUGGAGCAUCUGAGAGUUCUUUGCUCAGUGUCAAAUCAUACUGACACUUGACGAUUCCUUCCUUGGUUUUGCCUAUGCAGGUGAGGAUUCCUUCAUCUCUGUGACUGGCUUGCUUGAUGGUUAGGGUCUGAUCGCUGCCUGAGACACCAUAUCGGUACUCCUCAGAGUUGGUGAUCACAGGAUCUGGUUUGCCACUGAAAGGAAUCUUGAUGCUGACCACUUCACCUCGGAGAGCAUGAACUGCUCCCAUGCCUUCAAGAGUUUUAGUGGGUAACCAGGAUGGAACUGCGGUGUUGCUUGCAGGAGAAGCUUACUACUGGUUUCUACUUCUCCAACCUCAUUGGUGGCUAUGCAGAAUCAGAGGUGGGGAGAGUAGUGGAAGGGCCUGUGGACUUACGGAUGCUGCUGCGACACUCUAUGACCUCAGACUGCAAGUAAGAGCCAAUCCCGAAGCGGUUUGUUGCAGCCACACGGAACACAUACUCAUUUCCUUCGGUGAGUCUGGUAAACUUAAACAUGGACCUAGUCACUGAUUCAGAAACGGGCAGCCAUCCUGGACGAUGAGCGUCACGUUGUUC